ACACUUAGGAGGGAGAAGAGAGAAAUGAAAUUUAUUUAGCCCGAGGUCCCCACGCCAUGAAUGUGGCCAGCAGGGGGCUUCUCGUGCGGACGCUCAAAGCCGGAAGAGCCAGCAGGCACGGAAGCCCUCGUGGGAGCCGGGAGUUCCAUGGCGAGGCCCCCCGCUGCUGCCCCAAGAAACGCUUGGGUUUGAGAUCUCAGGAAACACGGAGAGCCCCCACUGCGAUGGUGACGGCCCUGGAGUGGGUGGUGCUAAGGAAAGGGCAGCACACCCUUGAGGGCGGGAAGUGAAUGGGGUGACAAAAGAGAGGGCAAAUGGAUAAAUCACAUUCCACUCAACCGCCUCAGUCUGAAGAUGACAUACAUAAUUUCUGCUUACAUCCCAUUCAUAAGAACUAGUCCCAAGGACCUAUCUCAAGAAGAAGAGAACAUGGAUAUUGUUGCAAAGUAUUCUGAUAUCUACCAUACACACACGUUAAAUCAAGUUUAGCCUAAAGCUGCCUCCUUACAUAUUCUAAAUUUAGCCUAAAGGUUUCUCCCUAUAUGGUGAGCUAUACAUUAAAUGGAGGUAUAAACAGACUGUAACCUAUUUCUGUGACAAUCAUUGAGUUUUGGCCAAUCAAAGGGGGCCAACUGUUCAAGCCAUGUUCAAAUAAGGUAAAUGCCAAGAUGUAACCAAUCCAGCUGUUUCUGCACCUCACUUCUGUUUUCUGUGUGUCACUUUCCUUUUUCUGACCAUAACUUUUCCACCAGAUGGCUGCGUUGGAGUCUCUGAGCCUACUCUGGCUUGGGAGGCUGCCCAAUUUGCAAAUCAUUCUUUGUUCAACUAAACCGUGUUAAAUUUAAUUUGUCUAAGUUUUUUCUUUUAGCACACAUGUGCCAGCAAUACAAAGUUUGAGAAGAUACUAAACUAUUUGUUUCAGGGUGAGAAAUGCCAUGUCUCACUCCUUGAUGUACUCCCCCAGAAGAAUCCGCCCACUCAUACCAUACCCAGUCAGGAAUAAGCAAAAUAUGGCCUUGGGAAUUAACUUCCUAUUUCCAGCAUUUGUUUAAACUAAAGAAUCUUGGU
rnacentral:lncRNA from 10 species